UACGUAGGGACCGAGCGUUGUCCGGAAUCAUUGGGCGUAAAGGGCGCGUAGGCGGGCUGUCAAGUCUGGGGUGAAAUGCCGCGGCUCAACCGUGGAACUGCCUCAGAUACUGACGGCCUCGAGGGAGGUAGGGGCGUGCGGAACUGUAGGUGGAGCGGUGAAAUGCGUUGAUAUCUACAGGAACUCCGGUGGCGAAAGCGGCGCGCUGGACCUCUUCUGACGCUGAGGCGCGAAAGCUAGGGGAGCAAACGGG
rnacentral:rRNA from 1 species